rnacentral:rRNA from 1 species
GAUGAACGCUGGCGGCGUGCCUAAUACAUGCAAGUCGAGCGAACAGAUGAGGAGCUUGCUCCUCUGACGUUAGCGGCGGACGGGUGAGUAACACGUGGAUAACCUACCUAUAAGACUGGGAUAACUUCGGGAAACCGGAGCUAAUACCGGAUAAUAUAUUGAACCGCAUGGUUCAAUAGUGAAAGACGGUUUUGCUGUCACUUAUAGAUGGAUCCGCGCCGCAUUAGCUAGUUGGUAAGGUAACGGCUUACCAAGGCAACGAUGCGUAGCCGACCUGAGAGGUUGAUCCGCCCCCCUGGACUUGAACCCCCGCCCAGCCUCCUCCGGGGGGCACCGUUGGGGAACCUCCCGCAAGGGGCGAAACCUUGACGGGGCCCCGCCGCGUGGAUGAUGAGGGUUUUCGUGUCGUAAAACUUUUUUUUUGGGGAAAAACAAAUGUUUAAUUCACUAUGCCCUUUUUACCGUACCCUAAUCAGAAACCCACGCCAAACUACGU